AACAGGAUGACAAUUCCUCAUUUGUGGGUCUCAGAAUCUAGGCCUGCCUUUGCUAGUAUCUUUCCCUGUUUAUCCCCCAGGUUUAUUACUGGUUUUCCCUGCUAACGUGUUUUAUGGUUGUGUUUGUUUGUUAAAUUGUCUACAGAUGUACUUGUGCAAGGAUAUUAUUGAAAAACCUUAAAUAUUACAAGACAACUACAGUUUUAAUCAUCAGAAAGCAGGUUCUUCAUAUUUUGCUCUCUGGAAAUUAUGCGAGCAUGUGACCGUGACUGAAGUGCCUAUCUGUGCAGCCUGCAGUCGAGUAGCAGGGAUGUUGGGUCAAUGUUAGUCCCUGCAGAGGUUUCAGCGGAGGAUGCUAAAAAGGCGGAGGGACCACAGUUACUUGAAUGUAAGCGCCAGAAGAUAAGGAACCUUGUCUGUCCUGUUUCCCAUGAUACACCUAGCGCCCGGAAGAACGCAUGGAAUAAAGCAACACUCAGUAUAGUUUGUGGGAUGAAUAAAUUGUUACCGGAAACGAGAAGCAACCAGAUAGGUCAAAAUAAUUUCAAGAUUGAAAGCUUGACCAAGAUAAUCAGAUGCUGGGCGCUCAUCGGAACAAGAUGGGCAGAGUCUCCGUGGUCAUGGAUCUAGGAGAGACAAGACAAAAACACUAAGUAACCUGGAGAUGAACAAGGCAACUACAAAUUGUGGCAAAUGUCAUGAAGAAACAAGAGAGCAAGAAAGAGAAACUUUAGAAAAGGAUAAACAAGAAGUCCCCUUCUGCCAAAACAAGACUCAAAACCAAAUAAAAAGUGCUUCUUUCACUCCGCCUUAACCUUCACUUUAUCUGAGGAGGUUCCGAAUUUCAAACAGAUGCAGUCACUCCCGAAUAGUGACAGAAUUAGCCGAUCUGCCUUCUUCAAGUCCCAGCCUUUGUUUAAAAGCUCUUCUAGGACUAGGCAGACCAAAGCAAGAUUUUCGAGGAUUGGUGGUUCUAAGCGCCCCCAGGGGUACCUUGAUGGUCCCCUCCGUGCUUCAGGCCCAGAGCUGUGGGUGGACUUGUGAGCAUCUGUGUUUUCCUGUGUAAUCUUAUUCCCUGCUGAUCGCUGGAUUGGCCCCAAAGGAGAAGUUUCAGAUCUCCCAAAACUAUAAGUCAGCUGUCAGCCUGUGGAAAUUAAUUUUUCGACACCUGUGAAACCUUGCCAGUGAUCUCCUAAGGUCUUAGCUAUCCUAUAGCUGGUGUCUUCCGUGCCUGAUCGCCUGUGAAUACAGCAGAGAAGGACCCUCGGGACCCCCACUGCAGCCACUUGGACCCUCCAGUAGCUGAACUGUUCUUUUCAGUGUUACCAGGAACAUUCUGGACCUUAUCACCUCCCUCGUUUCUGGCCUGAUACUUGAAAGCCAUAGUGGAAGUUACCAAGGGCCACAUGUAAGGUGCUUCCCUAAAAAUUCAAGUCACUGUGAGCCAAUGACGUGAAAACAGUCACAAUGUUUCACAGUUAAGCAGCAUGAUACUCCUCAUUUUUAGUGUUUUAAUGUAAUAAAUGUUGUGUCUUCCUUAUGUUAUUAUCGUUUAUCUUUUUUUUUUUUUUUUUACAUUUGCUCUAGAAUUGUAC
ensembl:lncRNA